ACUGCAGUCGAGCGGANGAUGGGAGCUUGCUCCCUGAUGUAGCGGCGGACGGGUGAGUAACACGUGGGUAACCUGCCUGUAAGACUGGGAUAACUCCGGGAAACCGGGGCUAAUACCGGAUGCUUGAUUGAACCGCAUGGUUCAAUUAUAAAAGGUGGCUUUUAGCUACCACUUACAGAUGGACCCGCGGCGCAUUAGCUAGUUGGUGAGGUAACGGCUCACCAAGGCAACGAUGCGUAGCCGACCUGAGAGGGUGAUCGGCCACACUGGGACUGAGACACGGCCCAGACUCCUACGGGAGGCAGCAGUAGGGAAUCUUCCGCAAUGGACGAAAGUCUGACGGAGCAACGCCGCGUGAGUGAUGAAGGUUUUCGGAUCGUAAAACUCUGUUGUUAGGGAAGAACAAGUACCGUUCGAAUAGGGCGGUACCUUGACGGUACCUAACCAGAAAGCCACGGCUAACUACGUGCCAGCAGCCGCGGUAAUACGUAGGUGGCAAGCGUUGUCCGGAAUUAUUGGGCGUAAAGCGCGCGCAGGCGGUUUCUUAAGUCUGAUGUGAAAGCCCCCGGCUCAACCGGGGAGGGUCAUUGGAAACUGGAGAACUUGAGUGCAGAAGAGGAGAGUGGAAUUCCACGUGUAGCGGUGAAAUGCGUAGAGAUGUGGAGGAACACCAAUG
rnacentral:rRNA from 1 species